GGUAACCUGCGGAAGGAUGCAUUAAAGAGUAAGGGUGCUCAGCGCCCGACCUCCAACCCUUUGUUGUUAAAACUACCUUGUUGCUUUGGCGGGACCGCUCGGUUCCGAGCCGCUGGGGAUUCGUCCCAGGCGAGCGCCCGCCAGAGUUAAACCAAACUCUUGUUAUUUAAACCGGUCGUCUGAGUUAAAAUUUUGAAUAAAUCAAAACUUUCAACAACGGAUCUCUUGGUUCUCGCAUCGAUGAAGAACGCAGCGAAAUGCGAUAAGUAAUGUGAAUUGCAGAAUUCAGUGAAUCAUCGAAUCUUUGAACGCACAUUGCGCCCCUUGGUAUUCCGAGGGGCAUGCCUGUUCGAGCGUCAUUACACCACUCAAGCUAUGCUUGGUAUUGGGUGCCGUCCUUAGUUGGGCGCGCCUUAAAGACCUCGGCGAGGCCUCACCGGCUUUAGGCGUAGUAGAAUUUAUUCGAACGUCUGUCAAAGGAGAGGACUUCUGCCGACUGAAACCUUUUAUUUUUUCUAGGUUGACCUCGGAUCAGGUAGGGAUACCCGCUGAACUUAAGCAUAUCAAUAGGC
rnacentral:rRNA from 1 species